rnacentral:rRNA from 1 species
GUACACUCCUGCGGGAGGCAGCAGUGGGGAAUCUUGCGCAAUGGGCGAAAGCCUGACGCAGCCAUGCCGCGUGAAUGAUGAAGGUCUUAGGAUUGUAAAAUUCUUUCACCGGGGACGAUAAUGACGGUACCCGGAGAAGAAGCCCCGGCUAACUUCGUGCCAGCAGCCGCGGUAAUACGAAGGGGGCUAGCGUUGCUCGGAAUUACUGGGCGUAAAGGGAGCGUAGGCGGACAUUUAAGUCAGGGGUGAAAUCCCGGGGCUCAACCUCGGAAUUGCCUUUGAUACUGGGUGUCUUGAGUAUGAGAGAGGUGUGUGGAACUCCGAGUGUAGAGGUGAAAUUCGUAGAUAUUCGGAAGAACACCAGUGGCGAAGGCGACACACUGGCUCAUUACUGACGCUGAGGCUCGAAAGCGUGGGGAGCAAACAGGAUUAGAAACCCGUGUAGUCCC